AUGAACGCUGGCAAUCUGGGGCGUGCCCAUGCAAGUCGAGCGAACGGACGAGAAGCUUGCUUCUCUGAUGUUAGCGGCGGACGGGUGAGUACACGUGGAUAACCUACCUAUAAGACUGGGAUAACUUCGGGAAACCGCGCGGAGCUAAUACCGGAUAAUAUUUUGAACCGCAUGGUUCAAAAGUGAAAGACGGUCUUGCUGUCACUUAUAGAUGGAUCCGCGCUGCAUUAGCUAGUUGGUAAGGUAACGGCUUACCAAGGCAACGAUGCAUAGCCGACCUGAGAGGGUGAUCGGCCACACUGGAACUGAGACACGGUCAGACUCCUACGGCAGCAGUAGGGAAUCUUCCGCAAUGGGCGAAAGCCUCGCGUGGACGGAGCAACGCCGCGUGAGUGAUGAAGGUCUUCGGAUCGUAAAACUCUGUUAUUAGGGAAGAACAUAUGUGUAAGUAACUGUGCACAUCUUGACGGUACCUAAUCAGAAAGCCACGGCUAACUACGUGCCAGCAGCCGCGGUAAUACGUAGGUGGCAAGCGUUAUCCGGAAUUAUUGGGCGUAAAGCGCGCGUAGGCGGUUUUUUAAGUCUGAUGUGAAAGCCCACGGCUCAACCGUGGGUCAUUGGAAACUGGAAAACUUGAGUGCAGAAGAGGAAAGUGGAAUUCCAUGUGUAGCGGUGAAAUGCGCAGAGAUAUGGAGGAACACCAGUGGCGAAGGCGACUUUCUGGUCUGUAACUGUGUGCGAAAGCGUGGGGAUCAAACAGGAUUAGAUACCCUGGUAGUCCACGCCGUAAACGAUGAGUGCUAAGUGUUAGGGGGUUUCCGCCCCUUAGUGCUGCCAGCUAACGCAUUUUCAAGCACUCCGCCUGGGGAGUACGACCGCAAGGUUGAAACUCAAAGGAAUUGACGGGGACCCGCACAAGCGGUGGAGCAUGUGGUUUAAUUCGAAGCAACGCGAAGAACCUUACCAAAUCUUGACAUCCUUUGACAACUCUAGAGAUAGAGCCUUCCCCUUCGGGUGGACAAAGUGACAGGUGGUGCAUGGUUGUCGUCAGCUCGUGUCGUGAGAUGUUGGGUUAAGUCCCGCAACGAUCAACCCUUAAGCUUAGUUGCCAUCAUUAAGUUGGGCACUCUAAGUUGACUGCCGGUGACAAACCGGAGGAAGGUGGGGAUGACGUCUAAAUCAUCAUGCCCCUUAUGAUUUGGGCUACUCGUGCUACAAUGGACAAUACAAAGGGCAGCGAAACCGCGAGGUCAAGCAAAUCCCAUAAAGUUGUUCUCAGUUCGGAUUGUAGUCUGCAACUCGACUACAUGAAGCUGAAUCGCUAGUAAUCGUAGAUCAGCAUGCUACGGUAGAGCGAAUACGUUCCCGGGUCUUGUACACACCGCCCGUCACACCACGAGAGUUUGUAACACCCAGAAGCCGGUGGAGUAACCUUUUAGGAGCUAAAGCUCGAAGGUGGGACAAAUGAUUGG
rnacentral:rRNA from 1 species